AGCGUUGUAGCUCAAUGGAAGAGCGUCCACUGAAACAUUUCUGCGGAAGGACAUGAGUUCAAUUCUCAUCAGCGGUA
rnacentral:tRNA from 1 species